UGGGGUGAUCAACUUACCCAGUUUGCCUGGAACUGUCUGGGCUUUAAGGCUGAAAGGUCCAUGCUUCUAAACCCUGACAAUCCCAGGCAAACCAAGAUAGUUGGUCACCCCAAAGGAAG
rnacentral:pre_miRNA from 1 species